GCCGGUGGCCAUAGAGGAGUUGUCACACCUGUUCCCAUUCCGAACACAGAAGUUAAGGGCUCCAUCGCCGAGGGUAGUGCGGGACUCGCCCGUGCGAGAGUAGGACGCUGCCGGCU
rnacentral:rRNA from 1 species